AUCUUGAUGAUACUGGAGGCUGCAGCUGUGGUGGUGACCAUCCCUUUAAGAGCGGCUCCUGUAAUAAAGGUGGUUGACCAUCCCUUUAAGAGCUGUGUGUGCAGUGUGGAUAUAGUGUGAACCUGCCCGGAGAGCUGGAUUGUGGAGCAGCGAGUGUGUCUCUGCCUGGCUCACUCCUCUCACACACACCUUGCCGCAAGCCUGGACAGAGGGACACAGAGACAGCAGCUACCCACUGAGCCUCUCUCCUCCCUGGGCUGUGAGACCGGACCUCAACCCCCUCCCCCUAGCUGAGGAUCAGGAGACCCACCACUAGAGACCCACAGCAGACCUCAGAGCAAUGUGACCACUGACUGAACCAAGCCAGGACCAAACAGGCUGUUAUGGAUCUGAGAAGAAGAAGGAACAGAAGAAACAGCACGCUGUGAAUCCCUGCUGGUCCAGGUACUGUCCAUAACAUCUGGUCCAGGACCUGUCCUUAACAUCCCCUCUAAACCCUGCUGGUCCAGGUACUGUCCAUAACAUCUGGUCCAGGUACUGUCCUUAACAUCUGGUCCAGGACCUGUCCAUAACCUCCCCUCUAAACCCUGCUGGUCCAGGACCUGUCCAUAACAUCCCCUCUAAACCCUGCUGGUCCAGGUACUGUCCAUAACAUCUGGUCCAGGUACUGUCCAUAACAUCUGGUCCAGGUACUGUCCAUAACAUCUGGUCCAGGACCUGUCCAUAACAUCUGGUCCAGGACCUGUCCAUAACCUCCCCUCUAAACCCUGCUGGUCCAGGACCUGUCCAUAACAUCUGGUCCAGGACCUGUCCAUAGCAUCUGGUCCAGGACCUGUCCAUAACCUCCCCUCUAAACCCUGCUGGGCCAGGACCUGUCCAUAACAUCUGGUCCAGGACCUGUCCAUAACCUCCCCUCUAAACCCUGCUGGUCCAGGACCUGUCCAUAACAUCUGGUCCAGGACCAGUCCAUAACCUCCCCUCUAAACCCUGCUGGUCCAGGACCUGUCCAUAACAUCUGGGCCAGGACCUGUCCAUAACAUCUGGUCCAGGACCUGUCCAUAACCUCCCCUCUAAACCCUGCUGGGCCAGGACCUGUCCAUAACAUCUGGUCCAGGACCUGUCCAUAACCUCCCCUCUAAACCCUGCUGGUCCAGGACCUGUCCACAACAUCUGGUCCAGGACCAGUCCAUAACCUCUCCUCUAAACCCUGCUGGUCCAGGACCUGUCCAUAACAUCUGGUCCAGGACCUGUCCAUAACAUUCCCUCUAAACCUUUUUUAAAGCAAACCUCUAGCCUUGGUGCCAGUCUGUUUUUUUUUUGGGCCAAUUCCUUAUAGAAUUGUCACGCCAUGUCUGGCUUGACAGACUGAUCUGGGACAAGGCUAGCAAACAUCUAUUGGUGUAAAGCAAACACACAGACUGAUCUGGGACCAGGCUAGCAAACAUAUAUUGUCCUACCAAGAGUGUCUGAAUAGCUCUUUAUCAAAAGCUCCUCUCUACAAAGUUAACUACAGAUUCUGAAAUGUUGUGAGUUGGUGCUGAUCAUUCCUCAUAGUGUCUCUCUGCAUAGUGGGAAUGCUGCCAUGGUUACCGGGGCUAGUGGUCAGAUAGUUAUCUCUCUGCAU
rnacentral:lncRNA from 1 species